UAAGGAGGGUGCCAGCGUUAAUCGGAAUUACUGGGCGUAACGCGCACGCCGGCGGUCUGUCAAGUCGGAUGUGAACUCCCCGGGCUCAACCUGGGAACUGCAUUCGAAACUGGCAGGCUUGAGUCUCGUAGAGGGGGGUAGAAUUCCAGGUGUAGCGGUGAAAUGCGUAGAGAUCUGGAGGAAUACCGGUGGCGAAGGCGGCCCCCUGGACGAAGAAGGACGCUCAGGUGCGAAAGCGGGGGGAGCAAACAGGAUGAGAUACCCCCGGAGUCC
rnacentral:rRNA from 1 species